CAGAGAGUGCGAACGUUGUCGGAAUUACUGGGCUUAAAGCGCACGUAGGCGGCGCCGCAAGUGCGGGGUGAAAUCCCACGGCUUACCCGUGGAACUGCCUUGCAGACUGUGGUGCUAGAGGAUGGUAGGGGAGAGCGGAACUCCUGGUGGAGCGGUGAAAUGCGUAGAUAUCAGGAGGAACACCGGUGGCGAAGGCGGCUCUCUGGUCCAUGACUGACGCUGAGGUGCGAAAGCUAGGGGAGCAAACGGGAUUAGAUACCCCGGUAGUCCUAGCUGUAAACGAUGGGCACUAGCUUGGGGUCUCCCUGUGUGAUCCCAGGUGAAGCAAAAGUGAUAAGUGCCCCGCCUGGGGAGUAUGGUCGCAAGGCUG
rnacentral:rRNA from 1 species